rnacentral:rRNA from 1 species
UGGGGGAACCCUGNGCACCACGCCGCGUGAACGAUGAAGGCCUUCGGGUCGUAAAGUUCUUUUCUGAAGGAAGAUAAUGACGGUACUUCAGGAAUAAGUCCCGGCUAACUACGUGCCAGCAGCCGCGGUAAAACGUAGGGGGCGAGCGUUAUCCGGAUUUAUUGGGCGUAAAGCGCACGUAGGCGGCGCUGUAAGUUGGACGUGAAAGCCCUCGGCUUAACUGAGGGAGGUCGUUCAAAACUGCAGUGCUUGAGGUUGGAAGAGGAGAGUGGAAUUCCCGGUGUAGUGGUGGAAUGCGUAGAUAUCGGGAGGAACACCAGUGGCGAAAGCGACUCUCUGGUCCACACCUGACGCUGAGGUGCGAAAGCGUGGGUAGCGAACGGGAUUAGAUACCCCGGUAGUCCACGCCGUAAACGAUGGAUACUAGGUGUAGGAGGUCAUUUACCCCUUCUGUGCCGAAGCUAACGCGUUAAGAUCCCGCCUGGGACUCGC